rnacentral:rRNA from 1 species
UACCAGCACCCCGAGUGGUCGGGAUGUUUAUUGGGCCUAAAGCAUCCGUAGCCGGUUCUACAAGUCUUCCGUUAAAUCCAACUGCUUAACAGGUGGGCUGCGGAAGAUACUAUAGAGCUAGGAGGCGGGAGAGGCAAGCGGUACUCGAUGGGUAGGGGUAAAAUCCGUUGAUCCAUUGAAGACCACCAGUGGCGAAGGCGGCUUGCCAGAACGCGCUCGACGGUGAGGGAUGAAAGCUGGGGGAGCAAACCGG